rnacentral:rRNA from 1 species
AUUGAACGCUGGCGGAAUGCUUUACACAUGCAAGUCGAACGAUGAACCUUAGCUUGCUAAGGGGAUUAGUGGCGAACGGGCGAGUAACGUAUCGGAACGUAUCCAAUAAUGGGGGAUAACUAGUCGAAAGAUUAGCUAAUACCGCAUACGUCCUACGGGAGAAAGCUAGGGACCUUCGGGCCUGGCGUUAAUGGAGCGGCCGAUAUCUGAUUAGCUAGUUGGUGGGGUAAAGGCUCACCAAGGCGACGAUCAGUAGCUGGUCUGAGAGGACGACCAGCCACGCAGGAACUGAGACACGGUGCAGACUCCUACGGGAGGCAGCAGUGGGGAAUUUUGGACAAUGGGCGAAAGCCUGAGCCAGCCAUUCCGCGUGAGUGAGGAAGGCCUUCGGGUUGUAAAGCGCUUUCGCAAGGGAAGAAAACUUAAGCUCUAACAUAGCUUGAGGUUGACGGUACCUUGAUAAGAAGCACCGGCUAACUACGUGCCAGCAGCCGCGGUAA